UACGUAGGCAGCGAGCGUUGUUCGGAGUUACUGGGCGUAAAGGGCUCGUAGGCGGCCAACUAAGUCCGACGUGAAAUCCCCAGGCUUAACCUGGGAACUGCGUCGGAUACUGGAUGGCUUGAAUCCGGGAGAGGGAUGCGGAAUUCCAGGUGUAGCGGUGAAAUGCGUAGAUAUCUGGAGGAACACCGGUGGCGAAGGCGGCAUCCUGGACCAACACUGACGCUGAUGAGCGAAAGCCAGGGGAGCAAAACGGG
rnacentral:rRNA from 1 species